CCUACGGGAGACAGCAGUGGGGAAUAUUGGGCAAUGGGCGCAAGCCUGACCCAGCAACGCCGCGUGAAGGAAGAAGGCUUUCGGGUUGUAAACUUCUUUUGUCAGGGAAGAGUAGAAGACGGUACCUGACGAAUAAGCCACGGCUAACUACGUGCCAGCAGCCGCGGUAAUACGGAGGUGGCAAGCGUUGUACGGAUUUACUGGGUGUAAAGGGCGUGUAGCCGGGUUGACAAGUCAGAUGUGAAAUCCUGCGGCUUAACCGCAGAACUGCAUUUGAAACUGGUGAUCUUGAGUACUGGAGAGGCAGGCGGAAUGCCUAGUGUAGCGGUGAAAUGCGUAGAGAUUAGGAGGAACACCGGUGGCGAAGGCGGUCUGCUGGACAGCAACUGACGGUGAGGCGCGAAAGCGUGGGGAGCAAACAGGAUUAGAUACCCUGGUAGUC
rnacentral:rRNA from 1 species